AAACGGUAGCAAUGUAGGAAAGACAAUUCUUAGAAAAUAUUCUGAUCUUGUUCCAAACAUGCCACCAGAAUAGGGAAGAUUUCUUAUAGUAUCAUCAUCAUCUAAACUCAUCUCAAAUUUAAUAUAUAGAGAUGAUUCAGUUGGAAGCAUUAGUAUUUACAUGAACAAUUUUGGAAACUUCAACUCACAAUCUAGGGCAUACAUGGAACCUAUGAUGAAUAUCGAUGGUUUGGCAAGGUUCUGUUAUUACGAAAACGUUUCCCCAUUUUGGGAGUACGAAGAGAACAUAACUGAUGCAAUUUAUAUACGCAGUGCCAUCAUAGGCACUUUGAUGCAAGCUGAUAGUUUUAGUGAUUCCUGGAUAGACUUCCUUGUUGAUUACAUACUCAGAGCCUACAGAGAGAAUUUGUAGGUCAUAAUGAGUAUGACAGGGACACUUCUAGGUGGUGAGUCUCAGAAUAAGUCUUUAACAUGUAUAACUGGGAACCAAUCAUAUAAUUAGCAAGGAUUGAGAUGAAUCAAAUUUAUGUUAGACAUAUAUAGGCUCAGUAUAUAUAGGCUAUAUGCAGAUUCUACCAAUGUAUCGAGUGUAAAAUUAUAUUUAUCUAUUCGAGACAAUUAUAAUUUCAAACUUUAAACUCGAUACUUUAAAAUCAAAUUGUCGAGAGUGGAUAAAUAUCGUCACUGCACAAUAUUUAGUGGUGGCUCAUCUGUUUCUCUAAUGAUAAAAUGCAAGUUAAGCGGAAAUAAGCUUUUGAAAGUAUACUUAAGCAAGUUAAGCAUGAAUAAGCUAAAACUCUGAAAGUAUACUUUAUACAGUAUAAGAUAAGCUCGCCUGCCCUGAUAUUCAAAUUGUUUUGUUUGAUGUGCCACGCGUAUUUGUGGUCAACAUAAUACAGACUGCCAUUUUGCCUUAAAAAGGACAAAAGGUGGCUAAAUCUAACAAACAACUGCAUGAAAAAAAUACAUUUUACAACCAUAUUCCGGCCGCGCUUUGUCAUGUUAAACCUCCUUUAGUGUAAAAAAAAUGCACUCGGAUUUGAAAAGAUCAAAUGUCACUUUUUUUAUUUCCAGCCCACUCUUUUGGUUGACCGUUCAACUGUAUAAACGAAAUCUUACCAUAUUGAAGGAAACAUUAAAUACUAGUACUGAUCAGUGCUUAUUAUUCAGAAAUCAAAAUGUUACAUCAAUAUAGCGCUUUGCAGUACAUUGAUUAUAAUAAAAAUUAUCACUGACUAUAUGUUAAUAUAUACUGUAUAUUGUUUCUAGGUAAGGUAAAUGACGUGAGUACAGUGGCGACAUCUGUACACCCCGGAUGGAGAUCUGCAGUGGUCUACAGCUGUCGGCGUCGGCUGGGGGAAUGAUUACGGUGAUAAGAAUGACACGGGCUUUUUGAAUUUGAUAAAUUCAUAUCAGAAUAAAUUGUAUACAUUCGGUGAUGGUAUGUAUUCAAAUGAAGCUGGGAGUAAUGUGCCGUCAUUUUCUACACAUUUCUGGGGCUCUAACUAUGGGAGGUUAUUGAAGAUUAAACAAGAAUGGGACCCAGACAAUACUUUUACUUGUUUACAAUGCGUCGGAUAUACCGCUUCAACUUCAAGUUCAGAAUACUUCUACCGUGGAUCAAUAUGUCUUGUAUCAUUUCUUGUUUUGUCAAAGUUAUUGUUUUACUGUGACUGAUUUGUACCCGGAAUUAUAUUACACAUUCGUUUUUUACCUAAACAUUUGUCAGUUUUAUUAUUGAAUACUUUUAUUCUGUAUAAUAUCUUAGUAAAUAUAUUUCUGUUAAAUUCUUUUAGUGAGUUGAAGGAGUGUAAAGUGAUACUAGUAUACAGUCAGGACAUUCAGCAGUCUGAACGAUAGAACAGU
rnacentral:lncRNA from 1 species